ensembl:lncRNA
GCAGAAAUUAACCCUUCUCCUUCAUCUCUCCCAUGCCCUGCUCUGUGUCUGAGCCCCUUACAAAGUCUAACUGAAAUUAUAUGAUCCUUUGUAUUUCUAGCUGCUCCAGAUUGGCUUGAUCAUUACAUGCUGGGCUUUUCUUCCAUAGCAUGGAGGCAGAGCAGAGAAAAUGUAAGAGCUAAAGCUAUAAUGUGUUCUAGUUUUGGAAAAGAUGCUGGUGGAGUAAGAGCUGCAAACAAAGAAAACUUAAAAUGUUUCCUUUAGCUUUGGGAGUCAGAAAAGUGAGAGAACCUGAAGGUAUGGCUCUCAUCAGAAAAGGUAACUCCAAUUAUAUAACAGCAGAAUUUGCUUGGUUUUUUUUUUGUUUGUUUGUUUGGUUUUUUUUUGGUUUGUUUGUUUUUGGUAUGCAUGCCUAGGUCUCUCAUCUGAACCAUGUGAACCUUAAAGAAUCUCAGAUGCUUUUCAGUUCCUACAGCCCUCAGGACCCCCUGCUGCCCCUGCACUGCAGUGCCAAAUACAUAUUCUCCUUCACCCUCUUGGUCCUCUCCAAUGCUGCAGUUUGGAAGUAAUGGCUCUUGGCAAAGGAGUUAAUCUGAUUCAUCUGCACUUAACUCUCUAUGAGAAGGAAUCUGAGAAUGGCCUUUAUGUCUACAUCUGAGAGAGGCAAUAUAUUAUAUUAUAUAUGGAAAGGCCUUAUUCAUGCCUAUGUAAAUCAGGAAUAAUUAUCUUUAAAUUGGGUGCCACUGAGAUGACUAUCAAGUCUGGAGAAUUCCCAAUGUACAGAAUAUUUUAUGCUGCGGUAUAGGUAGGGCAAAAAAACACAGCAAGGCUUAGGUAGUUAGAGAAAUGCUUUCCUAACAAUUCCCACCAAAAAGUUCUGUUAAAAAAGCAGUUAAGGUUGCUCCAGGGCAAAACACACCCACACAAGAAAUGACAGGUUAGGGGAACCUUCCCUGCAUAAACUGCACACCUCACAUUAGCCACUCCCAGCGACAGACUCCAAACCCCAACAAGAAGCUCCCCUUGUUCUGCAGGAUAAAGAAACAAACGAGACACCUCCUACAUGUUCCAGUGCAAAACCCUCUGGCUUCUGUAACGCUAACAUUAGCAGCUGGUGCAUGAGGAGAGUCUAUGGUGAUUAUAGGGUGAAAUGGAGAUUAAGUGCCCCCUGAGCAUAGGCUCUGUUGGUACUGCUGGUCUCAAGGACCUUCUGUGACUUCAUCAGACUGUUUUUUCUGUGACUGGCCACUCCACUUAGUAGACUCCUUCCUCAAUGCAGAGCUGAAGAGCCAUCUGUUACCUUUUAUUAGACUGGAGAAUGAGCUAUUUGAUAUACUUACACCAGAAUAAAUAUUUUCCCUUGAUGAAAAAAUAUCUGCACAAGGUAUUUGUAUGCAGCUUUUUCCAAGUGCUUUAUUCCCAGUUGGGCCAGAAUAGAUUUUACAUGAAAGCUGUUUUGUCACCCACCACUAUGGCAUGGAAGGAUGAUGACACAAAGUCAUAAUUAUAAUUAAACCUUUAUUUCUUUAAACAGAAUUUUAUGAUUGGCAUAGCAUACAAUUCUGUGACCAGAAUUGAACAUGAUUUUUAUAAUUAGAAUCAGCAUAUCAUAAUUUUCUAGGUAGCUUAGCACAAAAUUUGUAUCACAGGUUGGCUUACAGUUCUUAAUCACCUGGAUGCUCUGCAGAAUGGGUCAAAUCUUAAUACUUGGCUUGUAGUAUCAAUAUAAUAAUCAUAAUAUGGAAUAAAAGCAUGUGGAAAUAUAUUAAUCACUCAGAACUUGAGGGAAGCAGAUGAUGGUGGAAGUAUCCGUGACCCCUGGGUUUUGCUGUCCAGUGGCAACUGUGGUCCAAAUCCCACUGUGGUCUCAUAACUGCUUGAUUUUAUAGACAGUGCUUUGUGUUCUGUCACACCUCCUUGUUUUGUGAUGGUGUCAUCACAACCUGGGUGCCUGGGACCUUCAAGGCUAGUAAAGAAGGGAGCCCAGGGUCCAGGAACCGUGAGGCUGAUAGGGAAUGGGAAAAAUAAUUCUGCCUGGUACAUGGGACCUUCCAGACCUGAUGAGGAAGGGAAAGGAGACUGAUACACGACAAGUUUGGUCAGAGAAUAGCCAUUUGCCCUUUGAACUGGCACUAGUUAACCUAGCCAUAUUAUGAGGGGUCAAGAACAGGGGGUGCCAGUUGCAAACUUGUAUUGAAGAAGCCUUUGCUUCAGAAUGUGUUGGUGGUCUUCCAUCUACUUUCCUACGUAGCUUUUUACCUUCCCACAGCUAGUGGCUGCUUUCAUCCAAGUUUCUUCUGCUCAAGUGGGUCACACUGAGCAGUACUGACAGGUUUCACCAGGUUGUUUAAAUGCUAACACAGAGUUAAUUCUGCCUUUUUAUACCCAGGUGCUCUGGAACAAUGCUUUGGCAUCAUACUAAUAGGCUUUGUCUGCUGCCCCUAUGCCACAGAGGGCUUGUGAGUCUUAUACUCUGCAGAAAGGUAAAUCUGUGUUGGUCCAGGCACAGAAACCAGAAUUUUUAUGCUUGGUCUCAGGGGAGGGUUUUGACCCAGCUGCAUCAAAACAAAGAAUUCAAGAUGAGUAGAGGAAGUACACUUAUGUUACAGACCUUUGUCCUUUCGAAACGAGCUGGAGAACAGGUAGUAGUCUAACAAUGUCAUUUUGUGUCAUGGGGGAUGACCUUGAAGACACCGAGGGCUGAAAAAUCUCUUCACAGAAACGUUCAUACAUACACAAAAGUUGUGACUUGGUCACAGGCUGUUACUUCUGCAGGUGUCUCCAAAAUUCAGGCCUAGCUAUUCCUGAGUGCUGUGCUGUAUGAUCAGCUCUGACCUGGAAAACUGAAAUCAUAUUAAAACUGUACGCAUUACAGACUGAACAUUUUAUAGUUCAGUCACAGUGUGAAGGCCCCAGAGUGCAAAUUAAUAAAGGUUUUAUAUGCAUUUAUAUUUUAAAAAAUCACCUUUAAAAAGUCAGCAUGAAGUUUUUAUUUUCUGUCCCCCAGGAAAAUUCACCUAUUCCAACAAAUCACAGAGAAUCAAUACUUGUUUAGAAAACUGUAAUAACUGAAACAUCAAUCCUAAUGACUUUUAAACACCACUAUUAGUGGUUUCUAAGUUUAUCACAGGCUAUGUAAGGGUAAUUAACAAAUUAGGGUAUGCUUGGAGCACAGGUCUUUUGAGGAUACCUAUAGAUGACAUGCAUAUCUCUACUCACUGGUCCAAGAAUAUGAUAUAAAAAUGGCUGAAAUACUUCCUUUGUUCCCAUUACAAGAAUACAUCCCAUAUGGAAGCCAUCAGCAUCAAUGCUAGGCUUCCCUGUAAGCCUUUUUGAGCCACUAUUAUUAAAUAUACAUUACACAUACACCUGUACAAGCUGAAGUCUUGGAAGAACAUGUCUAUUCCCCAGAAAUCAAAGUGCUUCAACGCGGAUGCCUGCAGGGAGACAAUGAUCAUAAAGCAGCCAGAGAGCCAAAGGAAUGCUGAGAUUUCAGAGCCUGCGUGAUUACCCACAGCUGUACAAAUAGUACAGUGGAGAAAACAGACUGACCUUGGCCAUGUUUUGAGAGUGCCUGAUAACCAGGUCCUUCAACAAGCCUUGUUUCAACAUGAAGAGGAAAGAAGAGACGGUGACCCUGAGGAACAGGAGGAAACCUAAUAACGACUAAACAGCAACAUUGCAAGUCAGCAGCUUGAACAUCUUCCGGGGACUGGUCUGGGACAAAACUGAUUGGUGAUGACAGACAUCUGCUGUGUGUACCUGGCAGCGUGAGAAGUGGAUUAAACCAGAUAUAUGACAGCAAUAUCUCAAGUACAAGUAGACAGUACACUUCAAAACAUGAAUUACUGUGCUUUGACCAUCCCAGAAAUAUCAAUGGCAGAGAAAUUUUAGUCUGUUUGCAAGAAUUUUGAAAUAGAAUUUAA